rnacentral:lncRNA from 13 species
GCAACCCCAGGGCUCUUGGAUGCCCAGGCGGUACUUAAGGCCAGCCUGGACGAUAUAGCAACUCCAUCUCUAUAUAAAUUUUUUUCUUUUUAAGUAAAGAGAUUGUAUUCUCACUGAUUCCUGCUCCCUGGUCAGCCAGCACAAUUUCUCUCUCACUCUGCUUUCAUUUUUCCAAAACACAUGUCAGGACACUGAUUUAACCUGUCAUUACUGUCUCCUCUACUUCCACUCCAGCUAGAAUGCUGCAUCCCUGCACAGCUCCUGGCAGGUAGCACGGUAAGUCACCUUAACGGAGACCUGUGGGGAUUGCUCCCGUGUGAGGCCCCUAGGAAAUGGGCCUCGCCAUACGGUGAGCUUGAGCCCUGACACAGAUCCCCGGUUGGGGGAGUCCAGCUGAGGGAAAGCAGGAACCAAGAGAGGGACUAUGUUAUUCUAAAUAAUUAACAGACAUUACUUUAUGGAUAUGAGGACUUGGGAGGCAUUGUGUCUACUUUCGGAUUGUUACGGUUUAUUGCUUGAUUGUGUCCAUUUUGGACCUGUGUUACUUACUUACCGUAACUUACAGGGCGUAACUGUAACUUACUUACCAUGACUUACGGGGCGUGACUGUAAUCUACUUACCUUGACCUAUUGGGCGUAACCUACUUACUGGAAGAAACCUACUUACUGGGCGGAGCCUACUUACGGGGCUUAACUUACUUACUGGGUGUAACUUGCUUACUGUAACUUAAGUACGUUAAUCUGGUGUAAACAACUUUAACUUCAGAAAAGUAUAUAAUGAAACACAUUGCAAAAAUAAAAUUGCUGCAUGAGCAUAGCGCAUGUAGCCCUCCAGACCUCGCCUUUUCUAUCUCCUUUUUUUCCAGCGCGGGCUCUCUUCCAGGUUUGGGACCCUCUCGCUGGACGAGAUUCCCGGGCUCGCGUUCAGUUCACAACAGCUGGCGCCCAAGAAAAGACAGAUGAUUUAGAUUCGGGAAAAUACUUGAUGGAAGGUGAAGAAACGGACAUUGUUCCAGACAUGGACACACCACAGAUGAGCCAGAUGACUGAAGCUGGCUGGAACAUCAUGUGGUCCAUCAGUGCUGGACAGCCAGGCCUUCCCAGUUUCCUCAUAGCUUACUUUUGCACUCCAGUUUAGCUGCUGUCUGACUUUCCCUUGUGGGUUCAGAGGGGAGACUGAUGUUGCUAAGCCUUGCUGAGCAUCAUUUCUGGUGUGGCAGAGUCAACAGGCCUCCUGCUUCUUGACUACUCCUGACUCAUCUCUGCAGAGCAGACACACCUCACUUCUUGGACAUCACUGAAGAAUGUUCUGGUAAGUAAAUUUUUCAGGAAUGAAAGCUUACUGCUCAGAACACUCAACUUGAGAAACCUGGAACUAUUUUGCCCAUUAAUCUUUUUAUAUUUCUGAGCUGGAGUCUGGCUCUUGUCACCCAGGCUGGAGUCCAGUGGCACAAUUUCGGCUCACUGCAACCUCUGCCUCCUGGGUGCAAGCAAUUCUCUUGUGCUAGCCUCCUGAGUAGCUGUGAUUGCAGGUGCCUGCCACCACGCCCAGCUACAUUUUAUAUUUUCAGGACCAGGGUUGGGGCUGGACCAGGACUGUGACAACGUAGGGUCAUGUCAGGGCAUGGCCAGAGCUGGUUCAUAGAAAAGGCAAGGUCAAUACUAAGUUAGGGCCAGGGCUGAGGCAGGGUCAGUGAAUAUUGAGGGUGGGACCAGGACUAGGGCACAGCCAAGGCAGUGUAUGUCAGGGCAUUGGUAUGAUGGGGAUGUUGCAGUGUCAUUUCAAUGCCAAGACAAGGCAGAACAGGGAAAGACGAUAGUAGAGCCAGGGCAGGGACAAGCCAAGGCUGGGCCAGGUCAGGUCAGGGCCAGGAUACCUCCAAGUCCAGUUCAGGACCAUGGCAGGUCCAGGGUUAUUGCAAGACAAAGUUUAG